AGCUGCACCCACAGCAUAUGGAAGUUCCCAGGCCAGGGGUGGAAUCAGAGCUGCAGCUGCUGGCCUACACCACAGCCACAGCAACACCAGAUCCAAGCCAUGUCUGUGAUGUACACCAUAGCUCACAGCAACACCUGAUCCCCAUCCCAACCCACUGAUCGAACCUGCAUCCUCACAGAUACUAGUCAGAUUUGUUUAUGCUGCAGCACAACAGGAACUCCCUCAGUAAAUUCUUGAUCUAUAAAGUACGUUGCAAACUGGAACUAACAUAACUCUUCAUGAAAGAUGAUACACCCUAGAUCACUGAAUUACAAGUUAAUUGGUGUGUGUGUCUGUGCCCAUGGAACCAUCCAGUACUUAGAAGUAGUUUUGAGAAUUGGCCUUAGUGGAUCCAAUGCCACAUACUGAUUUAGUAAGAGCGGAAAAUGGAAAUGAUGCAGAGCUGGGGAAAAUAACACCACACUUUGUGUAACUUUGUUGCUGACAAAGCAUUGCUACUGGCAUCAUUUUACUCCUUGAUACAACUUGAAAAGCUGGCAAAGUAUAUAUGACUACCACCCUUCUACCUUGCUCCUUUUCCCCUAGGUCCCAUCUCAGGCCACAGGGCUCACCUAAAGCCACAGAGAGGCUAUGCUGGGGGCUGACGACUGCUGUUCCACGCACACAGCUGAUGUUCCUUUCAUUGCAUAGCACUCUGGUCCAUUGGCAUGUAGUUGCAAAAAGAGAUGGUUGUUUCUACGCAGCAGAGGUCAAAGUCUCUUGGUCUGUAGUUGAUUUACAGUGUUGUGUCAAUUUCUGCUGUACAGCAUAGUGACCCAGUCAUAAAUACACAUAUGUAUGCAUGUAUGUAUGUGUGUGUAUGUAUGUGUGCUAUAUAUAUAUAUACACACACAUUCUUUUUCUCAUACUAUCUUCCCUCAUGCUCUUUCUCAAGAGAUUGGACUUCAAUGCUAUCCAUUAUAAAUGUAAUAGUUUGCAUCUACUAACUCCAAACUUCCCAUCCAUCCCACUCCCUCCCCUCUACUCCCUGGCAACCACAAGUCUCUCCCUAGAAACAGAUUAUAGACAGGCAGGGUGACUAUUAUUUUAAAAAAUCAGAAGAGAUUAAACUAAAUCUAGAACUUUGGCUUCAUUUUAAGAAGGAGUGAAUUUGCUACAACUAGAGCUGAGUAGCCACCACUGCGUGGAAAGGAGGUAUAUCUACCCUAGAACGCUGCAGUCUCCGCCAGUCCUUAUCACAUCCUUGGACCAUGCUGUCAGCCAUUUACCCUCAUAAAACCAGGCUGCUUCAUUUUUUUAUCUUACCUGCCUGCUCCUGACAGAAAGUGAAUUCUCUGUAGGGCUGAGCAGCCCUCCACAGACAUGGGGUAGUUAUUCUCAGCUGCCUUGGACAGUGUUAUCUUUGUGUACUUUCCCACCUUGGUUCCUCACUCCCCCCAACAAUCUUUUCACCUUCAAUUUUCUUUUUUGUUUGUUUUUUAAAGUUUUAUCAACACAUAGUUGAUUGACAAUGUUGUGAUAAUUUCUGCUGUACAAAAAAGUGAUUCAGUCACACAUAUACACACAUCCAUUCUUUUUCAAAUUCUUUUCCCAUAUCAUUUAUCACAGAAUAUUGUGUAGAUUUCCCUGUGCUAUAAAGCAGGUGUUCAUUGGCCAGUCAUUCCAUAUACCUCAGUGUGCAUAUGCCAAUCCCAAACCUCCAGUCCAUUACUCCCCUACCUGUCCCCUUAGGUAACUAUAAGUUUGUUUUCGAAGUCUGUGAAUUUGUUUAUCACUGUCUCUUUAUUAAAUUGUUCUGCUAAUGGAACAGAGAAGUGGCUAUGGAACUGAGGAAAUUUUUACCUAAAAAGUUUCAUGUGCUGCCUUUCAAUUGUAUUUUAAUGGUUGGAAUUAUAUUAACCCUGCCCAAAGUUACUAAAAUUAUCUCCCAUUCUGUUUUUAAGUCUAUUUCAAAAUAUUUCAACUAAUUCAUUUACACAUUUCCCAGGGCCAUCCCUCCCGGACAAGCAUGAACAUUCUAUGACAUCAGAGGACUUUGCUUGUUCAACCCUAUAAUCUCAGCACCAGGGACAGUGACUGGCACAGAGUAGAUGCUCAGUAAAUAUCUGAUGACCUAAUGAAUGAAAGUGGGAAUAGUGAAUCAGAACUGGAUGUCCCUGGGCCAGCUCAGUGUGGUCCUUCAGACAGGGCUAGCCUUUAUCUAUGAUCUGUCUGAUAUAUGUAGAGUCCAGUAGGAGGCUUCCAUUCUCUUAAGAGAUAAGGCAUGUCCUAGAGGCAGAAAAGAUCUAGCUCGAAAAUUUGUUGGUUUGUUUUUUCAUAGAAAUACUUCAUCAGAAUAGCAACUUUUGCAUUAAACUAGCUCCCCACCUACAGAAACACUAGCCUUAAAGAAAACAGAAUAUCUUCCUUAGACUCAAUUAAGUUGCUCUGCUUAGCCCUUCAGUCUACACUGGUUUUCUUGGCUGUGCCAUGGAGAAGAUGGCUUUCAGUCCAGCCUCUUUUUUUAGGGUCAGAAGUCUUACAUAUGUCCCUGGGCUGCAGAGCAGCUCACUGUCAAGAACCACUUGAACUCCAUCAAAAAAUGGGCAGAUCUAAACAGACAGUUCUCCAAUGAAGACAUACAGAUGGCCAAAAAACACAUGAGAAGAUGUUCAACAUCAGUAAAUAUUAGAGAAAUGCAAAUCAAAAUGACUAUGAGGUAUCACCUUGCACCAGCCAGAAUGGCAGUCAUCAAAGAGUCUACAAACAAUAAAUGUUGGAGAAGGUGUGGAGAAAAGGAACCCUCUUACACUGUUGAUGGAAAUGUAAAUUGGUGCAACCAUUAUGGAAAACAUUGUGGAGAUUCCUCAAAAUACUAACAGUAGGAUUACCAUUUGAUCCAGCAAUCCCACUCCUGAGCAUCUAUUCAGAGAAUACCAUGACUCUAGAAGAUAUAUGUAUUCCAAUGUUCAUUGCAACACUAUAUGCAAUAGCCAAGACAUGUAAGCAGCCUAAAUGUCCACCAACAAAGGAGUGGAUAAAGAAGAUGUGGUUUGUAUAUACAAUGGAAUAUUACUCAAUCAUAAAAAGGAAUGAAAUAAUGGCAUUUUCAGCACCAUGGAUGAACCUAGAAAUAAUCAUGCUAGGUGAAGUUAGACAGUGAGACACAUCUUAUGCUAUCAUUUAUAUGUGGAAUCUAAAAAAAAGGGUACAGUGAACUUUGCAGAACAGAUACUGACUCACAGACUUUGAAAAAACUUAUGGUUACCAAAGGAGACAGGUUGGGGGUGGGUGGGUUUGGGGUUGGGGAUGGAUGUACUGUAAAAUUGGGUUAUGAUGAUGAUUAUUAUUGUACACCUAAAAAUAUAAUAAAGUUUGUUGAAUUUUUUUUUAAAGAACCACUAGAAUUUGCUUGACUUUUUAAAUUUUUUUAUUUUUAUUUUUUAAGCUUUUAAUGACCUGCUUAACAACUUAUAGGAGAAAAGAGUGGCCUGGACAGUCCAGCUUCUGCUCAGCUCCCAGGAUGCCUUGGACACUCAGCCACUCUCACACUUCCCUUUCCUCUCUUUGCUUCUUUCCUCCACAUCUUCCGCCUCCCUU
rnacentral:lncRNA from 1 species